UACGUAGGGUGCAAGCGUUAAUUGGAAUACUGGGCGUAAAGCGUGCGCAGGCGGUUUUGUAAGUCUGUCGUGAAAUCCCCGGGCUCAACCUGGGAAUUGCGAUGGGAGACUGCAAGGCUAGAAUCUGGCAGAGGGGGGGUAGAAUUCCACGUGUAGCAGUGAAAUGCGUAGAGAUGUGGAGGAACACCGAUGGCGAAGGCAGCCCCCUGGGUCAAGAUUGACGCUCAUGCA
rnacentral:rRNA from 1 species